GGGUAUAGCUCAGUUGGUAGAGCAGUGGUCUCCAAAACCACGUGUCCUGGGUUCAAGUCCUAGUGC
rnacentral:tRNA from 1 species